rnacentral:lncRNA from 1 species
UAGGGCAAGUUAAUGAAAAUGCAAGAAAAAAAAAAUGGGAACCAAAAAGUGACUCCAAGGUUAGGUUUGCAUGAGUAUGUAUAAAUGUAGAUCUAGGGGAAAAAAGGCCCAAUAAACCUUCUGUUGUUGUUUUUUUUGAAAACCUCUAAUUGGCUGUUAUUUAUAUCUUACUUGACUAUUAUUUCUUGAAACCUUAGGGAAGGUUGAAGAUUUAUCCAGUACUUCUAUAUACCAUGCUGAAAAAUCACAUAUUGUCAUUCUUUAGACAAAAAGCUUCAAGAUUAUUUGUAUUUAAAUUUAAUCCAUUAAUACUUUAAAACUUUUGUGUUAAGAAAAACUGCCAGUUUGUGCUUUUGAAAUGUCUGUUUUGACAUCAUAGUCUACUAGUACAAUUUUGACAGUACAUAUGUACUGUUACUAAAAGCUUUAUAUGCAAUUAUUAAUGUGAAGUUUUCAUUUUUUACUCAAGGAAGGAUUUCCUAGAAACAUUUCAAGGGAUAAUAUGUCUACAUAUCUGUAUGUGUGUGUGUGUAUAUAUAUAUGCAUACACAGAUGCAUGUAUGUAUUUAUAAUGUGUUGCUGGUCUUUUGCAUUUUAAAGUGAUCAAGAUUCAUCAGAUUAAUUUUUUUUUGUUUCAGUAAACAUAAGUUCACGGAUUGAAAGAUACAGGUUUCAUUUCACCUUUCCAAAGGUGAUUAUAUGAAGGGCAUGUAACUUCACACAGUUAUCAUUCAGUUUGAAAAUGGGGUACAUUUAUUUCAAUGUGUUCAUUGGUAUAAGUUUCACUGGUGAAGAAUUUUUGCAGGUUUUCAUGAAUCUUGACAGAAAUCUAUUAAAAAAACUGUUCAGUAGUGCAGUAUUUUUGCUGCUGAGUAUGAACUAAGUUAAUAAUGAAAACAUCUGAUAAUUUACAAUUCAGAAUAACUAAGGGAAUGAGGUAAUUGUUUUUCUAAAAACUUUUUCCUAUAACUCACAGCAUUGUACCAUUUAUUGGCGGUUUUGUAGUGUUUGGGGGGGAAGACAGUAGAAAUGUCAUAUUAUUCAAUAGACAAUAUCAUGUUUGAACUUUUUUAAUGGAUAAUAGGGCAUAACUGAGUGCUGCUAUCUUGAAAUGUGCACAGGUACACUUAAUUUUUUUUUAAGUUUUUCCCAUUCAGGAAAACAUUGUUGUGAUCUAUACUACAGGAACCAAAUGUCAUGCAUCAUACAUAUGUGUAUAAAGUACAUAAAAUAUAUCUAAAUAUGCAUAAUGGGGGGAGGGUAAUAUUGUCUGUGAAACGAUGUAAGAAGCUUUUCACUUUAAAGAAAAAAUGCAUUACUUUCACUUAACAUUAGACACCAGGUCAAAAUUUUCAAGGUUGUUGUAGUACUCUAAUAAAUUCCAACAGUUGAUUCUUAGACAUGCUAGCUAGUGUUGAAGCUGUUCUACUCUAUUUAUGCUGAAUUUGAUUAUUUUAAUGCCAAAAAUUUUUUUAGUUAUAAUCACUGGUGAUAACUUGGAAAUAAAUAAUUAUGCAAUGACAGCUGACAGUUCAUUAUCUCUAGGUAAAAAUUCACUGGGUUUAGAGAAUGGUGUUAUUAGCUGAUUAUUAACAAAUCAAAUAUUUAUUUGUUACAUUAUUUUGUAUUUCAAAUUUCCUUUUACAUUCUUUUUUUAUGCUUUCUGACAUUACAUAUUUUUAAAGAGUAUGGAAAAAUAAUUUAAAGAUUUGAGGUCUGGUGGAUGUUUAUCUACUAAGUUUGAAAAUGUAAUAUUUUGAUAAUACUGUACUAAAACUGUCACACAAAUGCUUUUCUAAUGUUUUAACGUUGAGUAUUGCAGUUGCUGCUUUGUACAGAGGUUACUGCAAUAAAGGAAGUGGAUUCAUUAAACCUAUUUAAUGUCUACUCUUAUGUUUUAUCUGUUUCAUAAAUCUCUGUCAACUUUGUGAUUUAGUCUUAUUUAUACAUUUAUUUCAUGGUUGUCUGGGUUUUUUAAAUGGCUUUUAGCAUAAUCUUAAUGCCUGGAAAAGUUGUUUGAAAUUGUUCACUAUUCAAGGCUUUCGUAUAAUCACUAUUUAUAUUGACAGUGUGAUUGAGCCAUGUCAGAUGCAGCUCAUUUUGAUAUUUUGUAAAUGAUUUAGCUUUUCUUAUUCUGCUUUAUCUUUGGCUUAAAUCAUGUGUUUAUGAAUGAGGAAACUUGAAG